GCUUAGGUUUCGCUUGGAUUAAGUUCGCGGCCUUUUUAAGACCGCUCCAACAGUUCGAAAUCUUUUCUUAAGUUC
rnacentral:tRNA from 2 species